UACGUAGGGGGCAAGCGUUGUCCGGAAUCAUUGGGCGUAAAGAGCGUGUAGGCGGCUCGAUAAGUCUGCUGUGAAAAGUCCAGGGCUCAACCCUGGAAGGCCGGUGGAAACUGUCGGGCUAGAGUCCGGAAGAGGCGAGUGGAAUUCCCGGUGUAGCGGUGAAAAUGCGCAGAUAUCGGGAGGAACACCAAUGGCGAAGGCAGCUCGCUGGGACGGUACUGACGCUGAGACGCGAAAAGCGUGGGGAGCAAACAGGG
rnacentral:rRNA from 1 species